rnacentral:rRNA from 1 species
AGUGAACGCUGGCGGUAGGCCUAACACAUGCAAGUCGAACGGCAGCACAGUAAGAGCUUGCUCUUACGGGUGGCGAGUGGCGGACGGGUGAGGAAUACAUCGGAAUCUACUUUUUCGUGGGGGAUAACGUAGGGAAACUUACGCUAAUACCGCAUACGACCUACGGGUGAAAGCAGGGGAUCUUCGGACCUUGCGCGAUUGAAUGCGCCGAUGUCGGAUUAGCUAGUUGGCGGGGUAAAGGCCCACCAAGGGGACGAUCCGUAGCUGGUGUGAGAGGAUGGUCGGCCACCCUGGAGCUGGAACACGGUCCAGACGCCUAAGGGAGGCAGCAGUCGGGAAUAUGGGACAAUGGGGGCAAGCCUGAUCCAGCCAUACCGCGUCGGUGAAGAAGGCCUUCGGGUCGUAAAGCCCUUUUGUUGGGAAAGAAAAGCAGCAGGUUAAUACCCCGCUGUUCUGACGGUACCCAAAGAAUAAGCACCGGCUAACUUCGUG